AUCCAGCUGACGAGUCCUAAAAUAGGACGUAACGCGAAUCCUAGAU
rnacentral:hammerhead_ribozyme from 1 species